AGGGAAUCUUGCGCAAUGGGCGAAAGCCUGACGCAGCCAUGCCGCGUGAAUGAUGAAGGUCUUAGGAUUGUAAAAUUCUUUCACCGGGGACGAUAAUGACGGUACCCGGAGAAGAAGCCCCGGCUAACUUCGUGCCAGCAGCCGCGGUAAUACGAAGGGGGCUAGCGUUGCUCGGAAUUACUGGGCGUAAAGGGAGCGUAGGCGGAUAGUUUAGUCAGGGGUGAAAGCCCAGGGCUCAACCUUGGAACUGCCUUUGAUACUGGCUAUCUUGAGUAUGGGAGAGGUGAGUGGAACUCCGAGUGUAGAGGUGAAAUUCGUAGAUAUUCGGAAGAACACCAGUGGCGAAGGCGACUCACUGGCCCAUUACUGACGCUGAGGCUCGAAAGCGUGGGGAGCAAAC
rnacentral:rRNA from 1 species